rnacentral:misc_RNA from 1 species
CGCGUGACGUGAGGCACGCCAUAUUCACAUUCAACAUGCCGGCGUGAGUACUGUUGCACACUUAGCGAUUAGAAAUCUUUCGAUUUCCUUGUUAAAAGUCAAAAAGUCCCCGUUUGUGACAAUUGUGAAAUUUUUGAGACCCUUAAAUACUUCCCAAAGAUGUCACACGGUGGAGGGCCUCCAGACAUUGAGGGAAUGACGUCCCUGAAAGUGGACAAUCUGACGUACCGCACAAAGCCGGAGGAUCUGUACAAAGUCUUCUCGAAAUACGGCGACGUUGGAGAUGUGUACAUCCCGCGUGACCGCUACUCCAAAGAAAGCAGAGGUUUUGCCUUCGUCCGGUUUUUCGACAAGCACGACGCAGAAGAUGCGAUGGACUACAUGGAUGGAGCCGCCAUGGAUGGAAGAGAUUUGAGGGUUCAAAUGGCCAGGUAUGGUCGGCCUUCCUCAGACUACAAUCGACGGCCGAGGAGUCGAUAUGACCGCGGUGGGGGCGGUCGGUAUGGUGGUUAUGGUCGGCGUGGAAGGGAUUCCAGGUCACGUUCUAGAUCACGCUCCAGAGGAAGAUGGCGCGGCAGGUCUCGUUCCCGUUCACCCCGCCGUUCUCCCAGGCGCUCGCCCCGGCGGUCCCCACCUUACCGCCGUCGUCGCUCCCCGUCCCGUUCCCGGAGCCAUUCCCAUAGCCCCCCGCCCCGCCGCUCCCGCUCCCCAGCCAAGCGCAGCCGACGGAGCAACAGCCGCAGCCGCUCCCGCUCAGGUUCCAAGUCGCCCCGGCAGAGGAUGCAGUCGCCGUCACGCUCCCGCUCCCGUUCCCGUUCUCGCUCGGGCUCCUACAGCAAAGGGGACUAAGAAGAUGGAGAGUCGCUCUGCUGUCGCCCGCCGUGGUGGCCAUGAAGGUGUUGGGGGCAGUGCAGGAUCACCUGUUGUGACCAUGCCUGUUUUUAAGGAUGCAGUAAUCCGCUAAGCAGUUAAUGCAGUUAGUAAUAAAGUCAUGCAGUGGACUGCAGUAAGGCAGACCUGGUUGGUGUUAACACGGUACCGAGCUAGCAGGUGUUAGCAGUGUUGCAGUUGGCUGAGUUACCGGUGAUGGGCAGAGUACCGGUGAUUGGCAGUGUGUACAUAGCCGUGUGUGCAGGCCAAGAUGGCAGUCUGGGGCCCUGCUGAAAAUAUUCCAGUGCUGCCGUGUUAGCAGAGCCCAGAUAUCGGGCGUUGGCAGUUGGCAUUUCGUGCAGUCCGUGGGUGAGACAUGGAGUGCAGUGUUGGUGCUGUUCCAAUUCAGACAUCCCUUGCUGGUGCUGCUGAAAAUGCCGAGAGGUAGCUGUCUAGCCGUGUUCUCGUACCUGGCAUCCCCCCCACAGCUCACAGAUAAAAAGGAAAGCGCAGUACUUGGAGUGUAAGUUAAGCAUAGAUCUGUGUGAUUGUAUCAUUCCUGUUUUACAUGCAUGCAGAGCUUAACUGAACCAUAGAGCCGUGUGUAAUAGCUCCAUGACUGAACCAUACAGGGUGUCUCAGUUUCCAUGUACGUUUUGAACACCAUUUCUGAACUACAUGCAUAAAAACUUUGCAACAGAACCAAAUCGUCCAAGAAGAGACACCACCGACCCUUUUGUUGCCCUUGUAUGUAUAUUAAGAUGAGCACACUUGAUCUCUUCUCAUGCUCCUUACUGGGAAAUCAGAUUCCUUAACUAGCCCUGUGUCCCCCCAACUGCCAACCAUCUUAUGAAACUCCAAAGACUUUCAUAUAUAUUUACUAUUGCUACCCCUGAUCAUUGUGCAUGUACAUUUACACAUGUACGUGCUGGUCAACUAAUUUGGAUUUUCCAGAUUUCACCAGUACAUGUACCAUGAGGUGUGCUGGGAGAACCCCAGGAAGUACUUCAAAAAGCUAUCGAUAUUUGGACUCAUUUUCUGCACUACAUACAGGUUUAGAGUCCUUCACAAAUAAGGCUUCCUGCAUUGUUGGGAAUGCUGGUACAGUGUGUACAGUGGUCAUAUGCCUGGAUCCAUCUGGUCAAACUAGAGAGAAAAACAACUGAGUCCAAGGCAAGUCGGGGGGGGUGUCAGUUUUCAACCUCAGCUUUUCAGGUGUACUGCUGUCAGAAAAGUAUGGGUUUGAGCAAGUAAAUUGAAUUUCAGAUUUUGGACGACAAUUAAAUUCGUUUAUUUUCAAGAUGUACUUUCAUUUUGCUGUGACAGACAAAAUUGAAGUUGAAACUCUUAUCUGCAGUUGCUUACGCUGGGGAACCCAAGAUGAAAUCUUACUUCCCGUCUUAAUUCUAUGCCUGAAUGUACAAAAGAAUAGAAACUUUGGUUUUGUGGAGAAACGGUUAUCGUCAACUUGCUAAAUGUCUCACGACAGUCAAAUCACAUGCCUGGUCACAGGUAGAAGUUGUGAACUGUGACAGGCUGAAAGGAAAGCCUUUAUUCAAUUGAAUAGCUAUAGACCUUUAUCGUGAUGCUUCCAUGUUUAUCUUGUUCCCAGUAGACCCAUGGGCAAUAGUAGUACAAGUUUGCACAGUGAUAAAAGGGACAGACUAUUUUCCCUUCCAGCUUCUGGUUACACAGCUUUGAAUGGUAGAAAAGCAAGAUGGCUGGCCCAUGAUAGAGGUCUUAUUGACUGACUUUUCAUAGACUUGUGACAACUUUACAUCACUGAUGAGAUUUUCUCAUUCCGAGAAGCCUUUCUACACUGUACUCUCAAAACCCCCAAUAGAUGGGAUUUUUGUAUUCACACUUAAAAAAAAAAGUGUGGCAGUAAAGCUCGCUGGCACAAUGUUGGGUUUUACUACUUACGAAGGGUUCCUUCCAUUCUGUUCGGUCCAAACACAUUCCUCUCGAAGUGGAGUGAUUCAGGCCUCACCUCUGGAAAACUAGGUUAACCAGCAUUUUCCCCAACAGGCAAGGCUGGAAGACGCGCAGUAUUAAAUGGACCCGGAUGUCUGCGCCAAUCCAGUGGCUGGGCUUAAAAGUAAGUAUCUGGGCACCAGACCCCAUUCAUUAGGCUCCAACCCACUCUGCACAAGGUACAUGGGCAUCAGCGAUAAACAAUUCAGUCGAAUCUCACUGACAAGAGGCCCCUUGGUCUUAGCAGAUUAUCUUAACAUAUCAGGAAUGAAAAGAGUGAAGAACGAAGGAUUGGGACCUAAAUCCUCUAAUAUAAGCAACAUGUUGCAUUGACUGUGCUCUUAUUAGCAAGGUUUGGCAGUACAAGUAUAGUCGGCUCCUAAAAUUGCAGGGACAAGACAAAUACUUUUGUUAUUACCAGGAAUGCGUAAUAAAAGGGAAUGGAAAAAUAAUUCAAAAAAUGGUUCAAAAAUUGACUUUAUUACAAGUAUUUUGUUACACAGUUUGUUAUAUUGAGAAUGGACUGAACAUGUUUAAUAUGAUCACUUUGUCCUGCUGACAAGAGUUUUAGGUCCAAAGUCUUGGCAUUUUGUUUUCUAUUCCUGACAAGAUCCUUGUAUGUGUACAAGGUGCAAUUUACAGUGUCCCAAAGACCUUGUUAUGAAGGGGUCUCGUCUGACUUGCUCACUCAUGCUGGACUUUAUCGGACAUUGUUCAUGCAGUCAUCACUGAUUGGUCAAAACUUCAUGGGGUGUGGGAUAUAAUGGAUUGGACUGUGCAAGCAAACUGAAGCAGUUGAAGUGGGAGCCCUUUGACCCGCCCGAGUUCUUCUUUCCACAACUGUUGUGCUGAAGAACUUGAGUUGCACCAACUGACAAGCUUGUUGUCGACAGUUGAGGGUGCCUUCAACGGCUUGCAGACUUCAUGCAUGCAGGGAAACAUUGCCAGUUACUUGUACAUGUAACUCACAUGCACGAGCUGUGUGCCUUUGUAACAGGACUUGGUAAAUCAAGGUUUAACUUCGAAGGGGGAGCAGGUAAAUGGGGAUUUCUUUCCGAAAGUGUUGCCCAGAUUCCCAGGAAGAUCUACCACAUCUGCCAUCUUAAUGCUUUAAAACUACAAAAAUGUGAAUGGGGGAUGGGACUUGAUGGUGAGCAUUGAAUUCUAAUUCCCGGUGUACCAGUAAACUGAUUUUUGAGCUAGCCUCAUCAUAGUUUAUUUGUAGUGUCCAGAACCAGGCUAUUCACAAUGGUUGAGAAUGACAAAGGCACCAGACCAUUCUAGGGCUGGAGAUUUCUGGGACCAUGUCUGAAUGCUUGACUACAACAAGAAUGAAUGUGCCUGCUCAAAAGGCAUAAUUCAGCAAGUCAGCAGCUUCCCAAGGCAUUUUAUUUUUACUAGCCGAAGCGAAUUACAUUGCAUUUCCAACACUGCUUUCAGUAAGCGUUGCAUUCCCUUGAAUUGUGCUUUGUACAGUGCACUUACCAAGUGCAGUGCACAUAAGUACACUGUAUACACUGAUUUGCUUGACUGGUUUGUCAGCAAGUUGCUUCCAAGUCCAUGUUCUUCAGCAUGAGUAACGUUCACUUUGUCUUGUGAAAUUUUUACAUGUACAUGUAUUUGACAAACCGCUGUGUAUUUUAUUGCAUUAACAGGAAAAGUGCAUGAAUUCUGUAUUUCACCGUGUUCACCUUUGCCUCUUAAAAAAAGAACUUUUUAGCUGAUUGUUAUAUUGAAUGCAACUUGGAAAAAGACAUAGUGAAUGUAACCUUGCUUUUAAUUUGCACAGUUUUUACGGUGUUUCAGUGUUGUGUUUUACUUGAGAGAUCGAGUUGGAAUAAAUUUCUGAUGAUCGUAAACGAA